rnacentral:tRNA from 1 species
GCGUCCUUAGCUCAGCGGUAGAGCAAUUCCUUUACACGGAAAAGGCCGGGGGUUCGACUCCCUCAGGACGCA